ensembl:lncRNA
GGUCAGAGCAGGGUGAUGCAGACAGUGGGGUGUGAUGGGGAUGUAGUGAUGGUAUGGGGACACAGGGAAGGGAUGAGGACAACAGUAAGGGACAGGGUCAACAGGACCAAAGGGGAGCCUCUCACCGGCAUGUGCUGUCCCUUCCGUGGAUCUGGAUACAUGGCCUGGGGGGACAAAUGGAUGGGCUGAGUAUCCCCCGAACUCUCACCUCUGCAUGAACACGGCUCCUGAGUGCAUUGCUAUGGGGCAGGGCUUGCAGCCAUAGGAAGGUGCCCACUGAGCCUGCCCUUCUCCUGAGACACAUGGAAUGAUGUAGCUUCCCUUCGAUAUGAUUACGUAAACUAUGCUGGAUUUAAAAAUGCAUGGCAGAGAUGCAACUGUGCACUGUAUGCUACUGCAGCACAAUUCUCUACUUCACCUUGUGGAUAAGAAAGGACAAGAAUCUUGAUGUAGGAUGGCAGCAUCCCAAUUGCAAGACUCCAUAAUGCAUUUCCCCUCCUGCCGCCAUCUAAAGCCUCUUUUAGGUGGUUUUCUUGAAGCAGGUAGAGGCACCAAGAUCCCAAAGCACACCAACAUCUGGCCAUCCUCACACUAUGGCCACAGCAUCAUCUUCUUGCUGCAUAGGAGCUCACACAGUGAGAAACCACCCCACACUUGGAAAUCACCCGAGUUUCCAUUCCUUAUUCUCAAAACAUUUUUUGAAUAACCCUUGCAGCAUCCCUUCCCACAAAAGGGAUCGUGCCCAAACCCUGCACCUGCUUCCUGAGCCUGGGCACAGCAGUGCCCCAUUUCUGCACCACGGGAUGGAGAGGGAGACCAUUCCAGAGCCCACGUCACUCUAUGGCAUUUCUUGAUCCAGAAAAUCUAUGUGGUGUUCAGUCCCCCCAUCCCCUGCGUCCGCACAACCCUGGUGUCAUGUCCCACCUGUGACAAGUAGAUCCAAGGGAGUGCUGAGGGGAGAGCUCCUCAGCCAAUUGCUCUCGUUCCUCUGCUGGUACCCACACGCGUAUGUCCCACUGCUUCUUGCAGAGAUGUUCAUCAGCAUGGAGUUGAUGACCGUAUGCUGAUGGGCUUUCAUGCUGUACAGCUCCAUCCCAUCCUUGCAGAAGACAAUUCGGGCAGCAGGAACCAGCUUCUGAAGGACACAUUGAGCCACGACGAUUUCCCCUUCCUGAGCUCUGGAAGUGUUAAGGAACAGGACUGGAGCCUGGAGAGUACCUGGAGAGAUGGCACAGGGAUUCCACCACCUCAUUGGUUGAAAAACACAUUGAAUCACAAGGCACAGACAAUCAGCACUCCAGAGAUGGACAUUGGGAAUUCAGGGGGGAAAACUGCUUUUCUCUCUUCCCAUAUUCUCCCCCAGGAUGUCUUCUUUUUCUGGACCCAUUCUCACACUCACCAUCAGCCCUGGAGAUGCAGGUGUUCUGGGUGCUCACACCAGUACCUGCACCGCGGGACAGAGAGGGUUUUGGUUAGAGGGAUAACGCCCUGCUCUCCCACGUUUUCCUGCCCAUGUCCCCAUAAUGGAGUAGGAACUAUUUCGUCUGUGUUUUUGCAUACUGUAUCUCCUCCAUCUCCUUAGCAUACCCAAGCCCAGUUCAGAUGUGUUUUCAGUUCCAGAUGCAGUCUCCUCAAAGUCAAAAUCAGACAGCAUUCGAAACUCUCGAAAUUUUGCUAUGUGCCUACAUUCUGUUCCUACUCAUCUUCACCCUCAGCACCAUCCAAAGUCUGUUUCUGUUCUGCUCCAGGCAUGGUUUCCAGCUCCCCACAGCAUCCCCAACUCACCGACCACCACCAGCAGCAGGAAGGCAGGGACACGAGGAGACGGCAUGGCCCAUUCCGACUGCCCCCGCAUCUUUUGGAGAUCUCCCCUCACGGUGCGUGCUUUGCUAUGAGCUGGGUGCAGAUGGUCACAGGUCUGUGUUGCGAGCUUACAACCCGUCCUGUGGUGUUUCUGCAGCUGACGGAGAGUUAUUCACAGCGAGAGGCUGUGAUGCAGCCCAUGUUGCAUCUGUUGCGUCUGCGGAGCAACCGCUUUUAUUUCGGGACAUGAGACACCUCAACAUGGUCCGUGUUUCCUGUUUAUUGAAGGGAGGAAACUUCUCCCUUCUCCCUCUUCUCUCCACCUCUUCUUGCUGAGCCUGGCCUCAUUCUGCAUGUGGUGACCCAUCGGUCUCUUUGGGUCAGCUCUCCUCCGUGCUCUGUCUCCUCCCAACCUCCUGACUACCCCCAGUCUAUCACAGAGUCCUAAAAGAGAAUGGUUUGAUUUGGAAGGAACCGUUAAGAUUCUGCAGUUAACCAUAGAAUCAUGGAAUCCUACGUCCUCAUUCAACCUGCCCCUGAGCACUCCCAGGGAUGGGGCAUGUACUACUUCUCUAGGCAGCCUGUGCCAGUACCUUACCACAUUGAAUCAAGAAUUUCCUCCUAAAACCUAACCUUAUUUACCCCUCUUCUAGUUUAAAACCUUUCUCUUCGUCCUGUCAUAAUCAAACCGUGCAAUCAAUCACUGUACAUUUUGUUUACAAGAUUCCUUGAAAUACAACCUCUCUGUGUCAGGCAGGGCACCUCUUCUGUGCUUUCGCCAUAUUCCCACUGAUCCUUUACUAUUCUGACUGCGUUCUCAGCCCAACCUCACCCUCUAGGGACAAUCCCAGUCGUGAGAAGCCUGGAAGCAACCCAGUGACUUCAGUGCUGCAACACACUCUCCAUCACCGGCGGAACUCCACCAGCCAAAAGCUUCUUUGCACUCAUUAUCACUGAUGUUGUCACCACAAGGAAAUGUCAUUUCAUUUACAUUCCUUGCAGCAAAAGUGAGCCAGUGCCUCUCCCCACUUCCCUGUCCCACAAGACAGUUUCUCUGGGCUCACAAUUGAGAAUGUGUCCCUGCUUGGAUGUAGGGCUGAUGCUGAAGUCAAGGGGCAGAGCAGAAGCACGACUGCAGUUCUGCUAUCUGUACUGAGAAUGGAGGAACUCAGCCACCAGGAGCUCAGGCCCUGCAUCUGCCCAUGGAGAUGAUCAACAGAGGGGUAAACACAACCUGUAGACCCACAAAACACAGCCAUGUGCUGAGAACUCACUCUGUGGUGAGCAAUGAACCUCCUGCGUGCUCAGAAUCUGCCUGUGCUAUUUUUGCAUCCCCCUUUCUUGGUCUGGCCAGACCUCAACUUUGUGCACACAGUAACGCCACUUCUGUUUAGAAAUGAGAACUUUCCUCCCACACAAGAUUCGCCCCACCGCUCCUUCAGAAAGAUGUAUUUCUCCGUGAUGCUUUGCUUGCGUGGAGCUGGGCUGGAAGCGGCAUUUAAAAGAGCAGCAGCUGCACAUCUCCAGUCUGAGGGACCAAAACCAUAGAGGUGUGUGAGUGCAGAGGGCUGAUGGGCUGCAAAGAACAUCACCUCUUUGCACGGCAUGACUGCAGUUGCUUUGCUCUGGAUUGGACGAUGAAGACAUGCCGAGCGUUUCCACUCUGCUUGGGUAGGGUUUGAGAUCUGUGGGGCAGGAUUCCCCCUGCAUUUGUCCAUCUUCCAGCUGGUUUUUGAUGAAAGGUGCUGUAAGGUGCCUGCUAGCAGCACUGAGUGUGUCCUUAUUCCUCAGGCAGAAUGACACUGCUCUGAGUCCCCCAGCUCAGGGCAGUUAUUGCAUGGCACAGAUGAACAGAGAGCAAAGGCAAAGGCUUGGAUUGUGUCACAGCCAAGCUGUGGUCCAAACACCUACAAUGAAUCCCAAAAGCAGUUAUGGGAUCGUUUAUUAAAAAUGUUCUUCACUUUCUAUUCCUUCUGCUAGUGCAGAGAGCUCCCAUCUCUUAACUUGCUUGCACCGAGUCUUUAGUGCACUCUCUCAGGUGUUGCCAUGUUUGAUGUGCUUUAUCUCAAGGCAAGAUAAGUUAUUAAUCACCUUAUCAGAGUCCAGGGGUAAGGAAUGUUAAUGGUUAGCAAGUGUUACUCUGUUGUCCUUGAAUAUUCACACUUGUGAAUAUUUAAGCCUUCUAUGCCCCCGUGUAAACAAGCUUCAAUGUCAUUUUGAGGAAUUUGCGAUCCACAUAGAAAUCAUGCAGCUGCCAUGAGAUUGUACAAGAGAUAAGGAAACCCAAAGACCAUACAGAACCCUUGAGAAACGAAAGCACAGCCUUCAAACUCUACAGAAUGAGACCAUAGAUGGGUGUGGAGCCCACUGCUGGGAUUGCUUUCAUUUUCACUUUUGUUCUGCUGUUUAAUCAGUUGCUGACACGGUGACGGAACAAAAGCAGUCUGUGUGACACAGAGGCACGGGAGAUUUCCUUUGUAUUCAGAGUUGGUGAAGCACGGACCACUGAACAGAAUGUGAAGUGAAGGGAAUUGGUAACUUCUUGGAGAAAGGAUUAUGAUGCAUUGUAUAUAAUUCUUGGCACCAUAAUUCUGGUUCUAGUAGAAGAAAUAGCAGUCUGAAUUUAAACAUCCACCAGAGAUAUAGUUAAAGAAUUACUUUGCAUGUCCAUCUCUCAUUUUUUAAACUAUUUCAGGGUUAAAUUAAUGUACAUCGGUAUGAGAUUCUAGCUAGCAUUUCUUUCUAAGCCCCAAACCUGAUCUUCAGACAUCUUGCCCUGUGCUUAUUCUCUAAAUUUAUGAUUGUGUUCUGCACCUGGUUCUUAAAGCAAAUAUUAUGAAAAUAAGAAAAAGUGAAUGCAUUUUUUCAGAGGGAGAAAUUGAUAUUCCUUAUCACCUGUCAUUUGGUGUCUCAUUGACUGCCUUUCUUACUAUUAGCUGUCACUAGCUGUGGUAGGAGAUAGGAAUGUGUUCAUAAGAAUUGGUGGCUGAAUUCUGCUGGGAUUUUAAGGGGGCAAAGUAUUCCUCUCACUCAGAUGCCAAACAUCUUUAGGAACACAAAGUCCAGUAAAACCAUUAGUUGUAGCGUUUUCUCUUCCAGCUUUUGGGGCUCUUCCUUCUUACUUUCACCAUCACUGUUUAUGGCAUGAACUUCAUGUGACCCUGAUGACUCUGCUAUAAAACUGAAGGAUAACACAGGAAAGAUGAGCUGGAGAACAAAUUAGAGGAAUAAAUGUGGAAAUGUGUCGAAGAAAUACAACAGGAAAUUACAGAGCACAUGAACAGAAAGUGAAACCUCGUAUCGAAAAUGUUCCUAGUACGUUCUGGAGUGUUUCAGGUUUAAAAGCAACUGGGAAAAAAAAUAAAGGAGAUUGUAGAGGGUGUAGUUACAGAUAGUGGGACACAACAACCAACUCUUACCUCCAAUAUCACUGCUGUUACGCACCAGAACAAAAAAUGCUCCACAAAUUAACUCAUUACGAAGAGUAAUGCAGAUAGUGACAAUAAAUAAACAUCAAAUGAACAACCUGUCUCUAAAUUCUGGUCCUAGAUUUGUUAUACUUGCAACCAAAUCAGGUAGUCCUAAUACUGUUCCCUAGAUGUUCUUGGCCGCACCGGUUUUGCCUUUGCAUAAAGCAAGGAGGACCAAAGCAAAGGAGGAAGAAACAUCUUCAGGUUUCACAGAGCAGGAGGAAUGUGAGCUGCUCCUUCCUGAACACUGCACUGGUUCAACAGGUUCCCAGUUGCAAGCAAUUACCUUCUGCAUAACAAACACAAAACAUGCAUAAAUGAAGUCUCAUUGUCCACGUCACUGUCAGAACGUGGCCACACACAUUAAGACGCCCCAUCAACACUCAGGUGAAUCAGCUUUGUGAAAGGGACAUUAAGCAGCCUUUUUGGACCAAAAAAAAAAAAAAAAAGUAAAAUAAUGUUUGAGUUACUGUUCAUAAGAGAAUAACUAGGGGAUAAGCAUUAACCAACAACAUGUACCCUUGUUUUCUUGAUUCAGGAUCUGAAACUCAAUGAUAUUGUUUUGGUUGGUUUCUUUUUCACUCGAGUGUAACACACAUACCUUCACCGCACGCCAGGGAUUUGGAGGCUACUGCUGUUCUUUUUCCAACUCUGAUUCAUGUUUAUGAACUCCUACAGGAAAGUGGAGUGACAGUGAGCUUCCCUACCUGCUUCUUACAAGGACACUGUGAGGAUCUGUGGGACCCAUGGCCAAGCACAGGUAUGAUUGUAGUGGUGCUUGAGACCCACAAACCUGCAUUACAACAGAGAUUCAAGAGCCAAACCUGAGUUUCAGUGGAGCUCCUAGAUGCUAACAAGCGCUGCAGGGGCUUAAAUGGUGUUGGUGGGUAUGCGGAUGGAGGCUCUAGCUAAUUACAAGUGGCUCAUUGCUCAGUUUCAUCAACUCUGCAAGAUCUGAGCCCAUCCCUACUUGGCUUUCCAGAACAUGCAGUCUACAUAAUCACUCCCUUGGGACAGGAAUUCAUCCAGAAGGCAAAGUAACAGGAAGCAGCAUUUCCCCAGUCUUUAGCUGCAUACCAUUAGAGGAGGAGGUAGGAUGGAUGCUGUGUGACAAAUAGGCUCAACAGCUGCAUUGACAUACAUCUUGCUUAGGUGUAUAAACCACAAUAAGCCUCAACAUUAUAAUUCCAUGACCUGGAAAACUCAUUAAGAUCAGAACACCAGGUGGGUGCUCAUUAAGAACAGAACACAUGACCAUAGAUGGUCAUGAAGAGCAGAACACCAGGUAGGUGCUCAUGACCAUGACCACAAAAAGAAGGAGUACAGACCAGGGACAUUCAAUCUGCUGAAAUCCUUUGUCACAACCCAAGGAAGAGUUCUGUCACUAGUUGUAAAUGAGUCUGGGGUUCAGGUGGUCGUCUUGCCUCCUCCAACGUGAUUGGGGUAUGGCCCUACCCAUGUGCAAGAGCAGUGGGUUGGAGAGGCUGUAGGUGGCCUCACUCUCCCCCUGCCCAAACAACUGCUAGUUGACCCUCCGUGUUGUAAAGAUGUACUUUGAGAGAUUUCUCUCUCCCCCACUAAGCUCCCAUUGUUACUCAACAGAACUUCAUAGUUUUACAAGAUCAGAUGCUAUGGAGAGAUGAUACCUCAACUUCAAUAGGCCUCUCCUCCUACUGCCCCUUAUCUUCUUAGCAUGGUGCUCUCAUUUCACCCUUCUAGGGAGCAUUUGGGACAUCAGCCCUCUUACCUCUCAGUCUCUUACGCCACCCUGCAAUAAUUAAUAUAGUCACAGUUAACAAGGGUCUUGAUUGCUCCUUCUCAUGUACCUGUGUACACAGAGAGAAUACACGGAUGAGAAGGAUGGGGUUAUCCACUUAGUACAAAUACGACGGUGUUAUCUGUGGGCGUUGGUACAUAUUCACAUAUGAAAAAUCAGUGGUCCUUUGGGAAUGAGAAGUACUGGUCCUGUAGGUGGCAGAUCAGCUAAGACUGGUUUUCCCCAUCUUAAUUCUUAAUGAAUUAAUUUGAAUCCAUAAUUCAAACACAAGGUGUUUUUACUCAUGGCUCUUAAAGGUGCACUCCUUCCAUUCCAAAGAUUUGCACUUACCUAAGCUAAAUCUGUGGAAUAUGAGAAAAUUGAACAUAUUCUGGUACAAAGAAGAGUUGAAUGGAACGCACCAACUGCAAAUGGCAUCAAUCACAGGAAGUAGGACAGAUAGUAGGGAAGGGCCCCAUUCGACCCAGCCUUGAGCAGCUCCAGGGAUGGGGUGCCCACAACCUCUCAGGGCAGCCUGUACCAGCACCUCACCCCCCUCUGAGUAAAGAAUUUCCUCCUAACAUACAACCUCAGCCUCCCCUCUUAGUUUUAAUCUGUUCCCCAUUGUCUUAUCCUCAUCAGACCAUAUAAUGAGUCGCUCUUUAUCGUGUUUAUAAUCUCCCUCUAUAUACAGCCUCUGGAUGCCAGGCAGGGCAUUGUUCUGCAUUUCUUGCCCCUUCUGACUCCAUUCUCAGCCCCCCCAUCCCACCCUUUAGGGAGCACCCCAGUAACUGAGAAGCCCAGGAGCAACCCAAUGCCACCAGUGCUGGCUCGCUGCCUUAUAGAACACCACUAGCAGAAAGCUUCUUUCUACUUAAAAUUACUUGUGUCAUCACCACGAGGAAAUGUAACUUCUUUUAAAUCCCAUACAGCAGAAGUGACAAUGGUAAAGCCGUGCCCCUCUACACUCCCCUGCCCAACAGGACAG